AGCGAACGCUGGCGGCAUGCCUUACACAUGCAAGUCGAACGGUAACGCGGGGCAACCUGGCGACGAGUGGCGAACGGGUGAGUAAUGCAUCGGAACGUGCCCAGUAGUGGGGGAUAGCCCGGCGAAAGCCGGAUUAAUACCGCAUACGACCUACGGGUGAAAGCGGGGGACCGUAAGGCCUCGCGCUGUUGGAGCGGCCGAUGUCGGAUUAGGUUGUUGGUGGGGUAAAGGCCUACCAAGCCGACGAUCCGUAGCUGGUCUGAGAGGACGACCAGCCACACUGGGACUGAGACACGGCCCAGACUCCUACGGGAGGCAGCAGUGGGGAAUUUUGGACAAUGGGGGAAACCCUGAUCCAGCCAUGCCGCGUGCGGGAAGAAGGCCUUCGGGUUGCAAACCGCUUUUGUCGGGGAAGAAAUCUUCUGAGCUAAUACCUCGGGAGGAUGACGGUACCCGAAGAAUAAGCACCGGCUAACUACGUGCCAGCCGCCGCCGUAAGAC
rnacentral:rRNA from 1 species